rnacentral:lncRNA from 1 species
AGGCUCCAGGAAGAGGCUCCAGAGGGCCCAGGUCCCUGGAGGAAGACAGAGUGUGGAUUAUCCAUCUCAAGGACUUGGGCAGCUUCUGGAAGUGGCUGAGACUGGAGGAAUGUUGUCACGCCUACCAGAUAUCCCUACGUGUAUCUCUACCACCCCUACUACAUAUUCUGAAGAACCAAGGUGAGCUGGGGGAGUCCCCAGGCCAGCAGGGCAAGGCCUGGGCAGGAAUGGAGUGAGGAAGUGAGAAGUGGGGGUCUUGGGGGUGGGCGGGCUGUGGGGCUGGGCUGUGCUGAGCACUGGGCAGGAGGCGGGAGGUGGCAAUGGAAGCGACAGCCCCCCAUCUUCCCCGGCUGCGUACGUGAGGGGUUCUGCUGCAUUCACUGAGUCACCAAAGGACACUGGAAGGCCAUCAGGAUUUUUGGGUGACCAAGACAUGGCUCCCCUCUUACUGCCUGUGGGGAGACAGGCAUGUGAACACCCAAGUCUAACCCAAGCUGAGUUGACUGAGGGCCAUUUAAAGAUUCCACAGAGGCUGAGAGCAGUGGCUCAUGCCUGUAAUCCCAGCACUUUGGGAGGCCAAGGCAGGUGGAUCACUUGAGGUCAGGAGCUCGAGACCAGCCUGGCCAACAUGGUGAAACCCCGUCUCUACUAAAAAUACAAAAAUUAGCCAGGCAUGGUGGUGCACACCACUAGUCCCAGCUACUCAGGAGGCUGAGGCAGGAGACUCGCUGGAACCCAGGAGGCAAAGGUUGCAGUGAGCCACGAUCACACCACAGCACUCUAGCCUAGGCGACAGAGCGAGACUCCAUCUCGAAAAUAAACAAAUAAAGAAAGGUUCCAAGGAUGGUCUGGAGGACAAACAAAGGAGGAGAUUUAGUGCAGGAGUUAGGACAAAGACUCUUGGGAGAGCAGCCCUCACUUGGGGCCAUAGUGAAUGAAUGGGGGCCUUUUGCAGAAGGGAAAUGGAGGACAUGUGUGGUGAAGGCUUUGCUGAAGCAUCUCUUAUAAAAGGGGCAAAAGCACUUGCUCUCCUCCCAGCUCUGGCUCAGCCUCUCUCUCUUCAAGUCCCUGGCAUCCCUGGAAAACCAUGAUUUUUCCAUUCUGCAGCCAGCCCAGGCACCUCCUCCCACCCCCGCACACCGCAGUCUGGUGUGUGUGGUGGGCACACAUAGAACACUUGCUGGUCUUGAAAAUGAAGCCAUCUUUCAGGGCCCCUAGAAAUCAAAGAGACCCACUUAGCCAAGAAAUCACUCUUGGACACCAGCAAGGGUGAGAUCACUUGAUAGGUAUUUUGCCGUGUGUUUCUUUUUAACUAUAUAAAAAACAAAAGGGUGGAUGUGCAAACCCAACCCAAGAAUACCUUGGCUCAG